GGGCUGCUGAUAUCAUCUUAAUGCCAUCCUUUUGAAAUCAUGUAGUUUAUAUAUUAAAGGUAAUGGGCCCUCUUGUUCGAGUCCUUCGGUUGGUGGAUAAUGAAAAUAAGCCUGCAAUGGAAUAUAUUUAUGAGGCUAUGGAUAGAGCAAAGGAGACGAUUAAAAUAUCUUUUAAUGAAAAUGAAGAAAAAUAUGAGAAAAUUUUUACAAUCAUUGACGAAAGAUGGAAUUGUCAACUUCAUCGUCCCUUACAUGCAGCAGGAUAUUAUUUGAACCCUGAAUUCUUUUAUAAGAUUAAAUCUGUUGGAUUUGAUGCAGAAGUUUUGGGUGGGUUAUAUCAGUGUGUUGCAAGAUUAGUUCCCAGCAUUGAGGUUCAAGAUAAGAUUAUUCAUGAAUUAUCUUUAUAUAAAAAUGCUGAAGGUCUUUUUGGAAUUCCAAUUGCCGUUCGAUCCAGGACAACUACCUCUCCAGCUGAAUGGUGGAGUCUAUUUGGAAAUUCCACCCCGAACUUACAGAAAUUUGCUAUCAAAGUACUUAGUUUGACAUGUAGUGCUUCGGGUUGUGAGCGAAACUGGAGUGUCUUUGAGCAUAUUCACUCGAAGAGAAGAAAUCGGUUAGAACAUCAACGAUUGCACGAUCUUGUUUACAUAAAGUAUAAUCAAGCUUUGAAGACUCGUCAU